rnacentral:rRNA from 1 species
GACGAACGCUGGCGGCGUGCUUAACACAUGCAAGUCGAACGGAAAGGCCCUGCUUUUGUGGGGUGCUCGAGUGGCGAACGGGUGAGUAACACGUGAGUAACCUGCCCUUGACUUUGGGAUAACUUCAGGAAACUGGGGCUAAUACCGGAUAGGAGCUCCUGCUGCAUGGUGGGGGUUGGAAAGUUUCGGCGGUUGGGGAUGGACUCGCGGCUUAUCAGCUUGUUGGUGGGGUAGUGGCUUACCAAGGCUUUGACGGGUAGCCGGCCUGAGAGGGUGACCGGCCACAUUGGGACUGAGAGACGGCCCAGACUCCUACGGGAGGCAGCAGGGGGGAAUAUUGCACAAUGGGCGGAAGCCUGAUGCAGCAACGCCGCGUGCGGGAUGACGGCUUUCGGGUUGUAAACCGCUUUCGACUGUGACGAAGCGUGAGUGACGGUAAUGGGUAAAGAAGCACCGGCUAACUACGUG